rnacentral:rRNA from 1 species
CCUACGGCGAGCAGCAGUGGGGAAUAUUGGACAAUGGGCGAAAGCCUGAUCCAGCCAUGCCGCGUGUGUGAAGAAGGCCUUCGGGUUGUAAAGCACUUUCAGUGGGGAAGAAAGCCUUGGGGCUAAUACCCUCGAGGAAGGACAUCACCCACAGAAGAAGCACCGGCUAACUCCGUGCCAGCAGCCGCGGUAAUACGGAGGGUGCGAGCGUUAAUCGGAAUUACUGGGCGUAAAGCGCGCGUAGGCGGUCUGAUAAGCCGGUUGUGAAAGCCCCGGGCUCAACCUGGGAACGGCAUCCGGAACUGUCAGGCUAGAGUGCAGGAGAGGAAGGUAGAAUUCCCGGUGUAGCGGUGAAAUGCGUAGAGAUCGGGAGGAAUACCAGUGGCGAAGGCGGCCUUCUGGACUGACACUGACGCUGAGGUGCGAAAGCGUGGGUAGCAAACAGGAUUAGAUACCCGAGUAGUC